AACGAACGCUGGCGGCGGGGCUUAGGCAUGCAAGUCGCGCGAGAAAGCCGCAAGGCGAGUACAGCGGCGCAAGGGUGAGUAAUAGGUAGUCAACGUACCAUGGAGACGCGGAUAAUUCUCCGAAAGGGGUUGUAAUACGCGAUGAGACCACGGCUUCUCUGGAAGCAGGGGUCAAAGGUGGGGAUCCUUCGGACCUCGCGCUCUGUGAGCGGACGACCUCCGAUUAGCAGAUGGCGGGGUAACGGCCCACCAUGGCGAUGAUCGGUAGCCGGCCUGAGAGGGUGUUCGGCCACACUGGGACUGAGACACUGCCCAGACUCCUACGGGAGGCUGCAGUCGCGAAUCAUUCACAAUGGGCGCAAGCCUGAUGAAUGCCACGCCGCGUGCGGGAUGAA
rnacentral:rRNA from 1 species